rnacentral:rRNA from 1 species
CAGCCCUAAACGAUGCGCGUUAGGUGUAUCGGUGACCACGAGUCACCGAGGUGCCGAAGGGAAACCGUGAAACGUGCCGCCUGGGAAGUACGGUCGCAAGGCUGAAACUUAAAGGAAUUGGCGGGGAGCACCACAACGGGUGGAGCCUGCGGUUUAAUUGGACUCAACGCCGGGAAGCUCACCGGAUAAGACAGCGGAAUGAUUGCCGGGCUGAAGACCCUGCAUGACCAGCUGAGAGGAGGUGCAUGGCGUGUGACUGU